CUAUGAAAUGCGGCAGUUCAGGGACUAUUUUAACUGAAAUAUUUAGUGUAUGAACUUUUGCAGAUGUCACAGCUUUUGUGUCACAUCUCAAUCACGGUUCUUUUGUAGGUGGUUAUGGAGGAGGCUCUGGUGGUGGUUAUGGAGGAGGCUCUGGUGGGCGGAGGUUUUAGAUUCCAGGGCCACAGUACUUAGAGGAGAGCCAGAGAGAGAUGACAGGGAAAGGAGAGAAGCAAGCAGGUUUACACCUAGAUCUGCCCAGCCAAGCAGUGUGGUGGCGAUAUUAACGUCUGCCAUACGAAGAGAACUUGUUCAAUAGGGGAGGAAAAUCAUGUGGGAAUGGGGGUGGGGGGGUCUGAAGGUGUUUAAAAAAAAAAAAAGGAACGUUUCAAAAGUACUCUUGUCCUGGAAGACAUUUACUAGUUUGUAGUUUUCCCUUUUUUGUCUGUGAAGUGCAAAGCAUUCCAAUGAGAUUUUAUGCAGGGUUUAAUUGUUGUGUUGGCUUUUCUCUUGAACCAGUAGGGUGUCUGUCUUUUUUCUUUUACAUUUCUUUUCUUUUUUUUUUAAUGUGAACAGUCACCAAUCAAGAUUAAAUAAACCGCUCCAGUUUUUUUAUUUAAUUGUAUUC
ensembl:lncRNA